GAGGGUUUGGCCCCUCGCAGCCGACUUGCAGGAGCAGGCUGCAAACCAUCGUAAGCGGCGCUGGUC
rfam:Delta proteobacterium ML8_D scaffold_38, whole genome shotgun sequence.